GGUUUCUGUUCAUUAUGGCAGCCCCUAGGGGGCUUCUGCAGGUUGCUGUGGUCUUGCUGCUCCGUAAGGUCUGGGCAAUGGGGCUUGCUUGGGAGCUCGAGAGGUGCGUGGGGGUCCUCCUUCUGCCCUCCCUGCCCCUGAGCUCAGCCUCCCCCUGCCAGCCGUGUACCUGGUGAGCCCCCUCAAGGAUAACUCGUCCCACCUCGCCCAGCCUGGGCUGCUGCAGGAGCUGGACUUGGCAGCCUGGGGAUACUGGGAGGAGGGGACUUCCUCCCUGAUGGCCUAUGCCUUGCUGCCUCCCUACGUGGAAGGCUCGUGGCUGACCCUCGAAGCCCGCAUCCAGCCUGCGCUAAACUGGGCCAUGAAGCUCUAUGUGGAUGAGUGUGUGGGCUCCCAGACCCAGUACCGGAACCGCUCUCGGAAGAUGUGCCUCUCAGUAGGCCCCCAUUCUGGCCCUUGGUCCCGGCAGAAUAAUGAGACGCUGCAGUUCAGCGUGGAGGCCUUCAUGCUCGACGAGGAUGAGGUGUAUAUCACCUGCUGGACGAGCGUCUCGAGUUGGAUGGGACCCUUUAAGCCUGGCCGGAAGUCCUGUUUUUAUAACACCUCCUCGUACAGCUGUCAGCUUGCAGAUGAUAAGUGGGAAAGCUCGAUGUGUGACUGCUGUGACUUUGGCUGUUCCCACCCAAAGAAAGAGUUCCCUGGGGAAGAGACACCUAUAUGGUGGUCACGGGGCUGCAGAAAGUCAAGAAGCCCCCAGUGUUGUAGUUUACGGUAAGGAACUCUGGGCUCAUAAUCAGCUCAGGCUAGGCGGCCACACCUCUGGGUAGUCCUGCAGCAUCCUUGGCCCCAGCCUCCUGCAGGACACUGAAGGACCUGCUAGUGGUGCUGCUGGCUUUCAGCCGUGUCACCGCUGCUGAUCCUGUUCCUGCUGACCCUGAAGGUGCUCAAGACCUUCCAGCUGUCCUCCCGGCUGCCAGGGACC
rnacentral:lncRNA from 1 species